UCUGGAGUGACAGGAAGGGUAGUUGGAAGAUUAAAACUCUCAGACCCAGCUCAGUCUGUCACCCCUGCAACCAAACCAAUACACACAAACAAGCCCAACCUCAGUGUGCCUUCUUCUCUCUCUUCUUCCCUCUCCCCUCUCCUCCCCUCCUCUCUCCUCACUUCUCCUCUCCUCCCUUCUCCCCAGUUCCCAGCUUUCCUAUCAAAUGACUCCAUCUGUCCCAAGACCAGUUUCCUUUUCUUUGCUCUGUUUUCUCUGAGGAUCCCAUGCUGAGUGGAGACAGAGCCAGGAAUACUAACAGUUGGUGACCAUCCAGGGACACCAGCCACUGUUGUUACCUUCAGUCUCACCAGCAAAAGCAAUUAAAACAAUAUGCGUACAAUAAAAUAUAAAAGCAUAUUUCACUUCUGGGAAAGGGAAAGUGGAUUCAGGCAUUAAAAGGAGAGCUUGGGUUGAAGCCGCCGGCAGCCGCAGGCUGUACUCCAAGAAAGAAUGGAGCUAGAGAGCCAGGCACCAGCUCCCGUCUCUGUGGCAUGGAAAGUUGUCCUAAGAAAGGCUGGAAUGACCUGUGGCCUCUGGAGGAAAAUAAGGAAACUGGAGUCCCGGGAGCUCCUUUCUCUCUCUGAUUUCGCCCAUCACUGUCCAUGUGGAAGAAGCACGAAGAGAAAUUUGAGUUGCGCUGGGUCUCUCUGCCAACUGCAUGAACCCUGAAAGUCCGUCCUCCCAUUUAUAAGUUGUUCCCAGAAUCUAAUCCCUCCCAUCUUCCUUCAU